GUACAGCCGAUGAGUCCCAAAUAAGGACGAAACAACUUUCCAGUAC
rnacentral:hammerhead_ribozyme from 1 species